rnacentral:rRNA from 1 species
ACAGCAGUAGCCACGGUAAUACGUAGGGUGCAAGCGUUAAUCGGAAUUACUGGGCGUAAAGCGUGCGCAGGCGGUUAUAUAAGACAGAUGUGAAAUCCCCGGGCUCAACCUGGGAACUGCAUUUGUGACUGUAUAGCUAGAGUACGGCAGAGGGGGAUGGAAUUCCGCGUGUAGCAGUGAAAUGCGUAGAUAUGCGGAGGAACACCGAUGGCGAAGGCAAUCCCCUGGGCCUGUACUGACGCUCAUGCACGAAAGCGUGGGGAGCAAACAGGAUUAGAUACCCCCGUAGUCCCUGUCUCUUAUAC